AAAAACAAACCAUUGCCUAUUACAAUAAACCCUUAUCUGCAACUUCAUGGACUAAAUCUACUUAGGAAAAGGAACUUUGGCUCUAGUUCUUGCAAUUCACCAUUAGCAGCCUUAUUUGAUUGGGCAACGGUUUGUCGUUCAUACAGACCAAUGCACCCCUUUGGUAUCUCCUUCAAUAGCCUAUCUCAAUACCAACUCAACAAAACUGGUAAGCCAAGCUUUUGGGAUAUGACUUUGAAAUUGUUUACAAGUUGGGUUCAA
rnacentral:misc_RNA from 1 species